rnacentral:rRNA from 1 species
AUGGCCACCUCUAAGAUGAUGCCGCCGGUCCCGAAGCUACUCGUGCUCUCGCCGGCAUCAACAUUUGGCUCCGUUGCUGUGUACGCGUGCUCACCGUCAAGCCCCGUAGACGAUUUACUCUUCACCUUCGACUGCGCCCGCCGCAACUCUGUUGAAAUGGUGAUGCCCUCGCCAUGCUGCGGGCUCACCCUCCUGUAUGACGCCGCGGCACCGGCUUACUAUGUUUGCAAUGUGGCUACAAGGGCGAUCACACGCCUGCCGCCUCACCGUGUUCCCACAUACGAUUCCAGUGCCGGACUGGGAUUUGACGCCGGGACAAGGGAGUACAAGGUCGUGAGGUUGAUCAAUGGGGUUUUCGGUGAGAAGGAGACGAUCAGGUGUGACGUGUGCACGCCCGGAGCUGAUCGCUGGAGGCCGGCAACCGGAGGGGUGCCCUUCAAAUGGUCCCAGUUUGCAAACUCCGCGGUUCAUCAUGCAGCGGUGAACAAAAUACCGCCCGUGUUCGCCAACGGAUGCCUGCACUGGUUGAUCAACCCUUCACUUAUCAUCAGAAGGCCAAGAGCUGCUAUCGUAUCCUUUUCAGUCGCAGAGGAGACCUUCGGAUGUGUCCGUUCGCCGCCGUUCUGGGGACCGAGAGAACAUCUGGGCUCCCUGUCCCAGUCAGAAGGAGAGCACCUGGUUGUGAUGGAUGACCAGCUAUGCAUUGUCCGGGAUCUUCGCAACGGAAUCCCUCAUGGCGGCACCUUGGAGAUUUGGGGACUGCUGGAUUAUGGCUCCGGUGAUUGGUCGCUGAAUCAUCGAAUCGAUUUGUUCGGGCAGGUAAAAAGAGAAUUAGCUGAUCCACGGGUUGUGAGGGUUAUUGGUAAUGUUGGCAACUGCAAGUUAGGGAAGAAGAUUGUGAUUGCUACUAGCAAGCACUUGGUUCACGACAAGUUUCAGAAAAAGGUUUACUCAUAUGAUCCUAGCCGUCAAGUUCUAGAGGGCAUUCUUUCGGUCACCGAGACGCACACCUCUCUUAUGCUCUUCGUCCCUGGUUCAAGAUUCAGCUUACUUGAAGAGAGCCUUGCUCUGGUGCAUAAAACUCAUGAAGACCUGGCCUUCAAGAAUGUGCUAAAGAAACUACGGCUCCAUGCUAAAAGGCUAAAAGAUGAAAGGUCUCUCUUGUUGAAAUCUUCUGCAAUUUAA